CUGAAACCGUGUACGUACAAGCAGUGGGAGCACAGGUUUACCUGUGUGACUGCGUACCUUUUGUAUAAUGGGUCAGCGACUUAUAUUCUGUAGCAAGGUUAACCGUAUAGGGGAGCCGCAGGGAAACCGAGUCUUAACCGGGCGUUAAGUUGCAGGGUAUAGACCCGAAACCCGGUGAUCUAGCCAUGGGCAGGUUGAAGGUUGGGUAACACUAACUGGAGGACCGAACCGACUAAUGUUGAAAAAUUAGCGGAUGACCUGUGGCUGGGGGUGAAAGGCCAAUCAAACCGGGAGAUAGCUGGUUCUCCCCGAAAGCUAUUUAGGUAGCGCCUCGUGAAUUCAUCUCCGGGGGUAGAGCACUGUUUCGGCUAGGGGGCCAUCCCGGCUUACCAACCCGAUGCAAACUGCGAAUACCGGAGAAUGUUAUCACGGGAGACACACGGCGGGUGCUAACGUCCGUCGUGAAGAGGGAAACAACCCAGACCGCCAGCUAAGGUCCCAAAGUCAUGGUUAAGUGGGAAACGAUGUGGGAAGGCCCAGACAGCCAGGAUGUUGGCUUAGAAGCAGCCAUCAUUUAAAGAAAGCGUAAUAGCUCACUGGUCGAGUCGGCCUGCGCGGAAGAUGUAACGGGGCUAAACCAUGCACCGAAGCUGCGGCAGCGAACGUAUCACUUAAAGCGAUUCAGCGGGUUACGAUUGACGGAGCGAAGCGACGUCAAAGCGUAUACAAAGUCGAGUCGGUUUAAGGAUACGUUCGUUGGGUAGGGGAGCGUUCUGUAAGCCUGUGAAGGUGGCCUGUGAGGGUUGCUGGAGGUAUCAGAAGUGCGAAUGCUGACAUAAGUAACGAUAAAGCGGGUGAAAAGCCCGCUCGCCGGAAGACCAAGGGUUCCUGUCCAACGUUAAUCGGGGCAGGGUGAGUCGACCCCUAAGGCGAGGCCGAAAGGCGUAGUCGAUGGGAAACGGGUUAAUAUUCCCGUACUUGGUGUUACUGCGAAGGGGGGACGGAGAAGGCUAUGUUGGCCGGGCGACGGUUGUCCCGGUUUAAGCGUGUAGGUGUGUGUUCCAGGUAAAUCCGGUUCACUUUAACACUGAGGCGUGAUGACGAGGCACUACGGUGCUGAAGCAACAAAUGCCCUGCUUCCAGGAAAAGCCUCUAAGCAUCAGGUAACAUCAAAUCGUACCCCAAACCGACACAGGUGGUCAGGUAGAGAAUACCAAGGCGCUUGAGAGAACUCGGGUGAAGGAACUAGGCAAAAUGGUGCCGUAACUUCGGGAGAAGGCACGCUGACAUGUAGGUGAAGUGAUUUACUCAUGGAGCUGAAGUCAGUCGAAGAUACCAGCUGGCUGCAACUGUUUAUUAAAAACACAGCACUGUGCAAACACGAAAGUGGACGUAUACGGUGUGACGCCUGCCCGGUGCCGGAAGGUUAAUUGAUGGGGUCAGCGCAAGCGAAGCUCCUGAUCGAAGCCCCGGUAAACGGCGGCCGUAACUAUAACGGUCCUAAGGUAGCGAAAUUCCUUGUCGGGUAAGUUCCGACCUGCACGAAUGGCGUAAUGAUGGCCAGGCUGUCUCCACCCGAGACUCAGUGAAAUUGAACUCGCUGUGAAGAUGCAGUGUACCCGCGGCAAGACGGAAAGACCCCGUGAACCUUUACUAUAGCUUGACACUGAACAUUGAGCCUUGAUGUGUAGGAUAGGUGGGAGGCUUUGAAGCGUGGACGCCAGUCUGCGUGGAGCCGGCCUUGAAAUACCACCCUUUAAUGUUUGAUGUUCUAACGUGGACCCGU
rnacentral:rRNA from 1 species